UUAUCUGGUGUGCUAGAAGGUUGAUCUUUAGACCGGAUGCCAUGGUCACUCUGCUGUCUUUUUGUGUCAUGCUCUUUGGAAGGUUGAUCUUUUUUUGUCAUGGCCUUUUGGUGAUCAGUAGCAGGGCGACGAGGCCUCUAAUGUGUCAUGCUCAACCCCAACUUGUCUAAAAAAUGACACCGGCCAGCAGCCCAACUUCUUGCGCGUUGAGCCCUAGAUUUUAAGCAUCUACAUAUCCAUGAACAUGCCCUCCUAAUUUUCACUGACGAUGUCAAAUCUAUGAUCUGCUAUUGCAAGAAGACUCACAAGCAACGAUGAGAUCUUCCACGUGAGGCGAAGUUUAGUACUAUGAAGCUUGUGUUAAUUGAGUGUAUGUUUUUUACGUAAAUUCAUUUAUGAACUAGGAUUAUUUAUCUCUGUCUAGCAGUAGUAUCAUGUCAGUAUUUGGUGCCUUAUAAAGAACCUGCUUUCUGUAAUUACUGGCAAAGUUUCGUAAUGAUCUUGGUUCUUCUUUGCCAAUAAUUUCUGCCUUAUAAACAUCUUUGUUUGAGCAGGUUCUAUUCUUUUAUCUAUGCCUAAAUGGUGACAAAAAUCAUGUUGGGGAGGGUUAACCUAUGUCAUAUCUUUGCCAAGAAUUCCUGAACCUAUUAGGAUAUAAAACUGAUGCUCCAACCAUGAUUUUACUUUCUAAUGUUUUCUUUGCAUUUGUGUUGACACAGCCUUAGAUCAUAGAGUUAUUUGGCUUAGGAGUCAUCGAGUAAUGCAGCAUGUGUGCUCGCAUGAUUUUCAUACCUAACGAGACAUCUGUGCUGUUGCCUUACAGAUGGAACCUAAGUAUAACCGUGACUUGGAUUUGCACAACUGCCAUUGC